UCUCUGCUGGCAAGCUCUCUUACAGGGAAGGUGCGCAGAUAUCUUGUUUUUGGACGUCCUCCUGGUCGAAGAAGAAGGCCCAAAACAGGGCCUCUCUCAGAAGGUGUGUUGCUUUGGCAGUUCCCAGAAGCUGUCAGCUUCUGUGGUGCAGACUCUCACCUGUGCAGACUAAAUUCCUAAGUUCCAGGGAGUCCCGGAACCCAGAUGGCGACCGCUGCUGCUGAGGCUGAGGCCGCCUCCCAAGCCAGGCGGACACCUGUCCUCUGGUCCGGACGGUGGCCGGCUGUCUGCGGCCCGCCAAGGGUGCUGCCUCAGCAGCUCUGUGCUUCUGCCCGUCCCAGAAGCUGUCCGGUUCUCUGGCGCACCCUCUAACCUGUUCAGACUAAUUUCCUAAGUUCUGCUGAGUCCCGGAACCAAGAUGGCGACCGCUGCUGCUGAGGCUGAGGCCGCCUCCCAAGCCAGGCGGACACCUGUCCUCUGGUCCGGAUGGUGGCCGGCUGUCUGCGGCCCGCCAAGGGUGCUGCCUCAGCGGCUCUGUGCUUCCGCCUGUCCCAGAAGCUGUCCGGUUCUCUGGCGCACCCUCUAACCUGUUCAGACUAAUUUCCUAGGUCCCGCUGUUUUCUUUCUUACUUUUCAUCACCAAGUAUCUUUUCCAUCUUCCCAGAGCAUCCUUGCCCACGUCUUCUGCACGGGAGUGCCUUUGAAUGAUAUGUAAAUUCUACAUCCAACCUCCGCAGGCUUGAGCAUCUGAGUGAGCACAGCCCCAAUCUGUCCUAGCUCUUGCCAGCUGCGGAGAGUGGAACUCAAGCAUUGAGGGCUAGGAUAUAGGAUGCGCUGGCUGUGCUCAGCUUCCAAUGCUCUCUUCAGAGACAGGCCUUUUUUUUUCUUUUUUUAAUACCUCCCUCCCACAAAUUGACACAUUUUGUAAAUUGUUUCCGGAGCAUAGUAUGCGCAACUAUUUAGGUAUUGACUAUGGCUAUGUCUGAGUUUAACAGGAUAGCUGAGCAGUUACAGCAGAGGUAGUAUGCCUAUCUCUCUUUUUUCUUUUCUUUUUUAAAAAAGAUUUACUGAUUAUUAUAUGUAAGUACACUGUAGCUGCCUUCAGACACACCAGAAGAGGGUGUCAGAUCUCAUUACGAGUAGUUGUGAGCCACCACAUGGUUGCUGGGAUUUGAACUCAGGAACUUCAAGAAGAGCAGCCAGUGCUCUUACCUGCUGAGCCAUCUUGCCAGCCCUAGUAUGCCUAUCUUACAGUUGGGGACUAGACUAUCCCACAAAAGCCCAGGUACUGGGAGACAGUGAACCUUGGGGGGAGGAGAUUAGGUCAUUGCAAAUGUACCCUUCAACUGCGUAUUGUGUCUUUGGCCCCUCUCCCCUCCUCUCGUUGUUUCCUGGAUGAGCAUAUCCUGUUUUUCUGUACAUUCCCACCAUGAUGUACUGCCCAAAUACCUCCUUCCUAUCCCCUAACCCUCCCACCCCUCAAACGAGCACCAGGUGACUAUGGAACUUCUGAAACACUGAACCGAACAAUGAGACAAAUAUGUAAUCCUCAACUUGCCAAAGACGGAGGCUGUGGCUGUGAUAAACCUGACCAGGUCUUUGGAACUGGUUUCUGGGGGGGAUCUGUCCAUAGGGCAGAUCUGGAACUGCAGGUCAGAGGAACCCUAGGAUGCUGUAGGCAGAGCUUCGUGGACUGCUUACGUGUGUUUGUGGAGGACCAGAAUGCUGAGAGAAAUGGGAACAGUGGAUGCACACGAGGGUCAGAGGGCAGUCUGUAGGGAUCUGCAAUACAGAUGAAUCAGCGUUCUACUCUGGCAAAGAACUUGGAUUUGUUCUUCCUAUGACUUGAGAACUCUUGUGGGGCUGAGUUGUGAUGGAUUAAAUUGUUCGGUGGAGGAAGUUCAAGAGCAAGCAUCACACCGGGGCUGUGCAAUGGCUGUUGCUUACUGCAUGGAAUGGAAUCACAGGGACAAUUCAAAAGCGGAUGUGUCAGGAGAGUAGGGACUGGCCCCAGGACUAAUAUAUUAAAUGUCAGUUGGGUAGGCCUGGAAGUCCUUUCUCACUCGUGGGAAAAGCAUGAGAGGGGCAGAACUGUGUAAACGACCUGUCGAGAGACUCAUGGCCCGCACUCAUGGCCCCGCACUAUUAAAUGUAUGCCUUUCCUCAGCUAACCAGCCCACCCCCAUCGUCAAGAGGAGUGCCUUUCUCAUUCUUAAUAAACUCCCCCUCUUUAUUACCUUAUGGUGUGUCCCUGGUGCAGUUGUUUGUCCUGG
rnacentral:lncRNA from 1 species